CCAUUCUCCUGCCUCAGCCUCCCAAGUAGCUGGGACUACAGAUUAUCUAAAUGGAAAAACUAAGAUCUCAUAGAAAGUUUGUUCUUUUUAAUCAUCUUACACAAUAACUUGCAACAUAAAGUUACAAAAUGAUCAAAUACAGUUUUUAUAUUUUCACGUAAUUAACUGAUAACCCUCCAGACAGAGGUAAAUACUAUGUUAUUUUUGCAUAAAAUUUCUCAGUAGGAAUUUCUCUUGUUAUUUAGAAAGUUUAUGUAAUCUGACCUCUUUAGAACAGAUCCUACGGAAGGCAUAGAAAACACACUCAUCAAAACAGCAAAGCCCUGUUGCUCAAGGCUGACAGUCCAAUAACAAAAAGGGGAAAGAUAACACUGAUCAAAGUACUGCACUCCAGCCUGGGCGACAGUGAGAUUCCAUCUCAAAAAAAAAAAA